UGGGGAAUUUUCCGCAAUGGGCGAAAGCCUGACGGAGCGACGCCGCGUGGAGGAUGACGGAUUUCGGUCUGUAAACUCCUGUCAGGGGGGACGAUAAUGACGGUACCCCCAAAGGAAGCAUCGGCUAACUACGUGCCAGCAGCCGCGGUAAGACGUAGGAUGCAAGCGUUGUUCGGAUUUAUUGGGCGUAAAGCGUGCGUAGGCGGCACGGCAAGUCUGGUGUGAAAGCUAGGGGCUCAACCCCUGUGAUGCACUGGAAACUGCCGAGCUUGAGUGCGGUAGGGGAAGGUGGAAUUCCCAGUGUAGCGGUGAAAUGCGUAGAUAUUGGGAAGAACACCGGUGGCGAAGGCGACCUUCUGGGCCGCAACUGACGCUGAGGCACGAAAGCUUGGGGAGCGAACC
rnacentral:rRNA from 1 species